UACUCCUACGGGAGGCAGCAGUAAGGAAUAUUGGUCAAUGGGCGCAAGCCUGAACCAGCCAUGCCGCGUGCAGGAAGACGGCCCUAUGGGUUGUAAACUGCUUUUAUCAGGGAAUAAACCCCCGCUCGUGAGCGGGGCUG
rnacentral:rRNA from 1 species